rnacentral:rRNA from 1 species
UACGUAGGGUGCAAGCGUUGUCCGGAAUUAUUGGGCGUAAAGAGCUCGUAGGCGGUCUGUCGCGUCGGAUGUGAAAAUCCAGGGCUCAACCCUGGACCUGCAUUCGAUACGGGCAGACUAGAGUUCGGCAGGGGAGACUGGAAUUCCUGGUGUAGCGGUGAAAUGCGCAGAUAUCAGGAGGAACACCGGUGGCGAAGGCGGGUCUCUGGGCCGAUACUGACGCUGAGGCGCGAAAGCGUGGGGAGCGAACAGG